CUACAUGGACAGCGCGCACAGUAAGGCACGUGAAAAGGGCUACCCAUCUUUUCGCGUUAGAACGCCCGAUUUUUACAACUAGUGGGCCAAAAUAAUCUACCCCGACGAAGCUGAAUGGUCGAACAAACGGUGAUAGCCUGGCAGUCGGCAGGGAUCCCAUUCGUGGAACAGCUGGCUUUGCUUUGUAAAUUUUACACUCGUAAUUUUGAUAUAUAAAAGUGUUGACGAAUUUCAUUCACGAUCGUUUCUGAAUUAGCAUGAAGAAAUCUGCGGUGAAAACCAUCCACGAGUAAGUUAGUGACUGGAUGUUUUCUAGGAAGUAUCACUGGAUAUUUUAGGUCGUUGGAAACCAACUGCAAUCUGCCUAUACGACCAUCGACACGAAGUACACCAUAUUCAUCUAGUAUGGGCGUUAGUUUGUAAACUAUUUCUUCAGCAUAAACACUUGCUUGCGUGAGUCGCCAAAGAAGAUUCUCUGCUUGUGUUAAUUCUUGGCUUGUGAGGAGUUGUUUCUUCAAACCGUUGCGAUUCUUCCUUUUGCAUGAGUUGAUGAACCGUAUUACAUAAGCAGUGGUACGUAAGAGGCGAUUCCAGUUAGAAAAUCGUAAAAAAUCGAUGGGUAUUUCGAAGGACACAUGGCCACAGUUCUUCUUCCGAAUAAAGGAAGUCUGGACCACGAUACCAACGUCCAUUUACGUCGUAGCAGGGACUGGUUCCCCAUUUUGUGGCUUCAUCGGCUACGUUAUGCCUACUCGGCACCCAUUUCCAUUCGCGUGCAUUGGUUGAUAAUAAAAUUUCUCCCACACGACAGGCUACGAAUUGUCGGUACCGACGAUGUUGAGAAUUGAUCCACGCCAAAACUGUUUUGGAAUCGGACCAGAAGAUUCGACGAUUCACACGAAUUGAAUGUCCUGCCAUGACCGUAUCUACUAAGCGAACACCUAGCAGCGCCGCCAUGAGCUCCAGUCGAGGAAUAGUAGUGUGUUGUAAUGGAGCUACUUUUGUCUUGGCGGCUACUAACGUACAUUGUACAUCUCCUGUAGAAUUUGUUACUCGAAAAUAUACAGCAGCAGCAUAGGCCUCUUCGCUAGCGUCUACGAAAACAUGAGCCUGAAGUGAUUUAUAUAACGUCG